rnacentral:lncRNA from 1 species
AUGAAUUUCAAGAUGGCCGAUUUCUUGCCUUUCCUCCCGUUUCUAUUGAUUCUCGUUGGCAAGGGGGCGCGUGUUUCGGUGUUUGUUAUGAUUUUGUGUCGUCUCGGUCAAAUGUUUCAAGUUCUUGCCAAUUGUUCUAUCCUAUCUGUUAUUUAUUUCUUAGCAGCCUGUGUGUGACGUGUGACUGCCAGGACUUUUAUAUCACGAAGCAAAGAAAAGGUGUUUGUUUGGAGGAGAGCUGUCAUCAACAUUCAUUUUGCUUCUACUUUUUUAUUUAGGAUCAUGUGAUGUCAAUGCUUCUUGUUUUCCAACCACUGUUGAGGCGUUCUGAUGGCUGCCUGUCACACAUUCAAUUGGUUCAAGGACAACGUGGGACAACAGUGCUGGCCACAACUUGGGGAGACUACUAACAGUUGUCCAGGGUGGUCAACAACACUUAAUGGCCAAGUCUGAUCUUCUGUUCAAAUGUUAAAAGAAGAUUGGCCAGUUGAUGGUAGCCUGCACCAAUGCUGCCGAGACAAGUUCAUUCACCAACACCUACUACGUUCCUCUAAAAGAUGAAAGAGAAAACAAAUCAUCAGAAGCAUAGGUGUUAAACUACAUAAUGAAUUGUUGCUGGAAGCUCAAAUGGUUUGUGCUAUUUUCCAAAAUAAUGCCCUUAAACUGUGCAGCGAACUGAGCGACAAUGUGGUCCAGCAAUUCGCUCAGUGCAUCGAGACCACACGCCGUCACGUGGAAUAUCUCCCCUUUCUGCCAACGAUCGUGAAAGGCCAAAUCAUUCGUAAGAACUGGUCGAGGAGGAAGUACUCUUCUUUUACAACGACAAAGGCCUUGUUCAACGACUUUCUCGACAUGAUGAGUGCCGAAUGGUAUCGGCUGGACGCCAGCACUAACAGCAGCGGAGCUCUCAAGUACCACAUUGAACAUGUGCGGCUGCUAGCGCGUUGCAAGAUGGGCAAGAACGUGUACAGGGAAAUCAAGUGCCACAGUCUGUUGACGUUGAACGAUAUCGUUGCCAUGGUGUCACAGAAAUGCAUCCCUCGAAGUCAAGAAAGUUCACAUCAACUUUCUGAAUCACUGCUACAUGGACACGGAAGUGGAAGUCAAGGAGAUACGAACCUCGUCUCACAUGUGUGUUUGAACGCAGAAUUCUCGUCGACACGGCUCCCUGUGCCUCGGCCACUCACGAUCGGUAGCACGCCGAACACAGCCCUGGAACAGUAAGUCACCGAAAAUUCCGCCAGCGUCAUUACCAUUUUGCUUCCAAAGUCCAGUGACUUUGCUGUUCAACAAACCAGCCCAAUUAUCGAGGGCCUGCAAGAUUUUCUCGGCUUGUUAGAGGCUCAACUUCAUCCGUUGGUUCAAGCCAAAACCUCCUUCAUUGUCCUUUACCGACCGGAAUACCUUUUUCAGCCUGGCACGGAAGAAGUGACAACGGCGGAUUGAUUCGCAGGUGGAUUAAAUCACGUCGUGGACAUCGGUUGCAAUCGCCUUCCAUUCUAUUUUGCUGUCCCUUGAGCGUUGCAGCAGGAAUUUUACUGUUCAAGCAAUGUUGUGUCCACACUAACAUAUGCGCUCAGCAAUUCAAUUAGCGAUUGACCUGAAUAUCAAUUACAACACAUGUUAUUGACUCCGCAGCCGUGGUUUAGUAUUUUUAUUUUUGUUUGCGCUGCCAGUGUUGUGCUCGAGAAACACUGCUGUGAUGUCAAUAACAUUGGUUUUAAUAUUGAUAUCCAGGUCAAUCCUUCAUGAAAACCGACUGCGCAUUUUUUUUUAUAAUUGAAGCCAGCAGCAGUUGAAGAGUUGUCUCUUGAAUAUCUUCCUCCAGUCGUUUCCAUCGCCGAAGUGAAACCAGAAGUUAAAUUUUGUUGGUUUGGGGAAAAGUGCAUCAAUAAUUUUUAAUCAUUAAAAUAAAAUGACAGUUUGACUGUG